CACGUAGGGGGCAAGCGUUGUCCGGAUUCAUUGGGCGUAAAGAGCUCGUAGGCGGUUCGAUAAGUCGGGUGUGAAACCUCCAGGCUCAACCUGGAGACGCCACCCGAUACUGUCGUGACUAGAGUCCAGUAGGGGAGCGUGGAAUUCCUGGUGUAGCGGUGAAAUGCGCAGAUAUCAGGAGGAACACCGGUGGCGAAGGCGGCUCUCUGGUACGUGACUGACGCUGAGACGCGAAAGCGUGGGGAGCAACAGG
rnacentral:rRNA from 1 species